UACGAAGGGUGCGAGCGUUGUUCGGAAUUAUUGGGCGUAAAGCGCACGUAGGCGCCUUGUAAGUCUCACUGUGAAAGUCCGGGGCUCAACCCCGGGAUUGCAGGGGAUACUGCAAGGCUCGAGACAAGUAGAGGUUGGUAGAAUUCCGGGUGUAGCGGUGGAAUGCGUAGAGAUCCGGAGGAAUACCAGAGGCGAAGGCGGCCAACUGGGCUUGUUCUGACGCUGAGGUGCGAAAGCGUGGGGGAGCGAACAGG
rnacentral:rRNA from 1 species